rnacentral:tRNA from 1 species
GAAAAUCCGUUGAAUUUGAAAAUUGUGAGGGUUCAAGUCCCUUUAUCCCCA